rnacentral:rRNA from 1 species
AUUGAACGCUGGCGGUAUGCUUUACACAUGCAAGUCGAACGGCAGCACGGGUGCUUGCACCUGGUGGCGAGUGGCGAACGGGUGAGUAAUAUAUCGGAACAUGUCCGGAAGUGGGGGAUAGCUCGGCGAAAGCCGGAUUAAUACCGCAUAUGCCCUGAGGGGGAAAGGUGGGGAGUCGCAAGACCUAUCGCUUUCGGAGUGGCCGAUAUCGGAUUAGCUAGAUGGUGAGGUAAAGGCUUACCAUGGCGACGAUCCGUAGCUGGUCUGAGAGGACGACCAGCCACACUGGAACUGAGACACGGUCCAGACUCCUACGGGAGGCAGCAGUGGGGAAUUUUGGACAAUGGGGGAAACCCUGAUCCAGCCAUACCGCGUGAGUGAAGAAGG